rnacentral:rRNA from 1 species
UACGUAGGGGGCAAGCGUUGUCCGGAAUUACUGGGCGUAAAGCGCGUGUAGGCGGGACGACAAGUCCGGCGUGAAAGGCUUGGGCUCAACCCGAGAUGGCCGUUGGAGACUGUCGUUCUUGAGGGUCGAAGAGGAGAGUGGAAUUCCUGGUGUAGCGGUGGAAUGCGCAGAUAUCAGGAGGAACACCGAUGGCGAAGGCAGGUCUCUGGGCAUUAACUGACGCUGAGGAGCGAAAGCAUGGGGAGCGAACAGG